rnacentral:tRNA from 1 species
CUAUUUUGGCAGAAAAAAUGUGUUAAAUUUAGGAUUUAUUUAUGUAGCCUAUACAAAUAGA